rnacentral:rRNA from 1 species
UACGUAGGGGGCGAGCGUUGUCCGGAUUCAUUGGGCGUAAAGCGCUUUAAGGCGGUUCGCUAAGUCGCGUGUGAAAACUCCAGGCUCAACCUGGAGACGCCACGCGAUACUGGCGUGACUAGAGUUCGGUAGGGGAUCACGGAAUUCCUGGUGUAGCAGUGAAAUGCGUAGAUAUCAGGUGGAACACCGAUGGCGAAGGCAGCUCUCUGGGACGGUACUGACGCUGAGACGCGAAAGCGUGGGGAGCGAACAGG